AGCUUGCUUCUUUGCUGACGACCGGCGCACGGGUGCGUAACGCGUAUACAAUCUGCCUUGUACUGGGGGAUAGCCUUUAGAAAUGAAGAUUAACACCCCAUAGUAUAUGACUGUGGCAUCACAGACAUAUUAAAGGUUACGGUACAAGAUGAGUAUGCGUCCUAUUAGCUAGAUGGUGUGGUAACGGCACACCAUGGCGACGAUAGGUAGGGGCCCUGAGAGGGGGAUCCCCCACACUGGUACUGAGACACGGACCAGACUCCUACGGGAGGCAGCAGUGAGGAAUAUUGGACAAUGGAGGCAACUCUGAUCCAGCCAUGCCGCGUGCAGGAAGACUGCCCUAUGGGUUGUAAACUGCUUUUAUACGGGAAGAAACACCCCCACGUGUGGGGGCUUGACGGUACCGUAAGAAUAAGCACCGGCUAACUCCGUGCCAGCAGCCGCGGUAAUACGGAGGGUGCAAGCGUUGUCCGGAAUCAUUGGGUUUAAAGGGUCCGUAGGCGGACAAUUAAGUCAGAGGUGAAAGUCUGCAGCUCAACUGUAGAAUUGCCUUUGAUACUGGUUGUCUUGAAUUAUUGUGAAGUGGUUAGAAUAAGUAGUGUAGCGGUGAAAUGCAUAGAUAUUACUUAGAAUACCAAUUGCGAAGGCAGAUCACUAACAAUAUAUUGACGCUGAGGGACGAAAGCGUGGGGAGCGAACAGGAUUAGAUACCCUGGUAGUCCACGCCGUAAACGAUGGAUACUAGCUGUUCGAUUUUCGGAUUGAGUGGCUAAGCGAAAGUGAUAAGUAUCCCACCUGGGGAGUACGUUCGCAAGAAUGAAACUCAAAGGAAUUGACGGGGGCCCGCACAAGCGGUGGAGCAUGUGGUUUAAUUCGAUGAUACGCGAGGAACCUUACCAGGCUUAAAUGUAGUGGGACAG
rnacentral:rRNA from 1 species